AAGGAUCAUUACCCUUCUAUCAGGGGGUUGGACGCAGCGAGUUGGGCUUCGGUCAGGCUCUCUGCCCCUCCCUUUCUGAAUAUACCCAUGUCUUUUGCGUACUAUUUGUUUCCUCGGCGGGCUUGCCUGCCGAUAGGACACCCUAACACCUCUUGCAAUUGCAGUCAGCGUCAGAAAAAACAGAAUAAUUACAACUUUCAACAACGGAUCUCUUGGUUCUG
rnacentral:misc_RNA from 1 species